rnacentral:SRP_RNA from 1 species
UUCGGGUCCUCUCGCAUUGAUAGCUUGUGAACCUGGUCAGGACCGGAAGGUAGCAGCCACAGCAAGUGACUCGAGUGCCGGGAUGUGGCUGGUAGGG